UGGGGAAUAUUGCACAAUGGGCGCAAGCCUGAUGCAGCCAUGCCGCGUGUAUGAAGAAGGCCUUCGGGUUGUAAAGUACUUUCAGCGAGGAGGAAGGCGUUGUGGUUAAUAACCGCGUCGAUUGACGUUACCCGCAGAAGAAGCACCGGCUAACUCCGUGCCAGCAGCCGCGGUAAUACGGAGGGUGCAAGCGUUAAUCGGAAUUACUGGGCGUAAAGCGCACGCAGGCGGUCUGUCAAGUCGGAUGUGAAAUCCCCGGGCUCAACCUGGGAACUGCAUCCGAAACUGGCAGGCUUGAGUCUUGUAGAGGGGGGUAGAAUUCCAGGUGUAGCGGUGAAAUGCGUAGAGAUCUGGAGGAAUACCGGUGGCGAAGGCGGCCCCCUGGACAAAGACUGACGCUCAGGUGCGAAAGCGUGGGGAGCAAACA
rnacentral:rRNA from 1 species